UACGUAGGAUGCAAGCGUUGUCCGGAAUUAUUGGGCGUAAAGCGAACGUAGGCGGUUACUUAAGUUUGGUCUUAAAGACCGGGGCUCAACCCCGGGAAUGGACCGAAGACUGGGUGACUCGAGGAUGUUAGAGGAAAGUGGAAUUCCAGGUGUAGCGGUGAAAUGCGUAGAUAUCUGGAGGAACACCGGUGGCGAAAGCGACUUUCUGGGACAUUUCUGACGCUGAGGUUCGAAAGCUCGGGGAGCAAACAGG
rnacentral:rRNA from 1 species